UAUUUUUCAGGUAGAGUUUAAAGAGUAUUUUUCUGGUCAAAUUCUUCAUGCAGUUGCAGAAGCUCCAAAGGAGGCCCUUCCUCAGGACUGUAGGCCCAGUUUUGACACUGCUUGGAUGACAAAAAUGAAGUUUGAGGUAAAUGAAACUUACAAAUGUACGUAUAAACUGGGUGGUCAGAAGGCUGAUAUCUAUCCUGAUAGCCUUUUCAACUGCCAAGCAAAAGAUCCAUCUACGGCAGAGAUGGUUAGAAGAUUCUUUGUGCUCAAGUGAAACAAAAAACUGAAU